CCUACGGGAGGCAGCAGUGGGGAAUAUUGCGCAAUGGGCGAAAGCCUGACGCAGCGACGCCGCGUGAGGGAUGAAGGUCGUCGGAUCGUAAACCUCUGUCAGCAGGGAAGAACGGUCACUGUGCUAAUCAGCAGUGAAUUGACGGUACCUGCAAAGGAAGCACCGGCCAAUUCCGUGCCAGCAGCCGCGGUAAUACGGAGGGUGCGAGCGUUAAUCGGAAUUACUGGGCGUAAAGCGCUCGUAGGCGGUAUGUCAAGUCAAGGGUGAAAUCCCCGCGCUCAACGUGGGAACUGCCUUUGAAACUGGCAGACUGGAGUGUGUGAGAGGAAAGUGGAAUUCGAGGUGUAGGAGUGAAAUCCGUAGAUAUCGGGAGGAACAUCGGUGGCGAAGGCGACUAUCUGGCACAUAACUGACGCUGAGGAGCGAAAGCGUGGGUAGCAAACAGGAUUAGAUACCCCUGUAGUC
rnacentral:rRNA from 1 species